ACUGUCUCACAAAUCAGUGGUGGGGGGGGAGCAGGCAGUGUUAAUGUUGCAUCUUCUACCAAUGUCUUUGUUUUGCGUAAUUUCCAAUCCUCUUUGAUUUAUAAAUUUCCCUUUAACCCUACCACCCCGCCAACUUCUUACCACUUCUACCGUUCUAUCGAGCCAACUAUGCUUUAUAACAGUUUCAUUUAAUUUGUCUUCAUAUCUCAAUUAUUGUCAUGUGGGUAAUCGCAAUUCUAUCUAAAUGAUACAAACCUAAAGUUAACUAAUAAUAAUAAUAUUAUUAUUAUUAUUAUAUUAUUAUAUUAUAGUUCCUGGAACACUGUUGGUUCUACACCAAUACAACUAGUUCCUGGAACACUGUUGGUUCUACACCAAUACAACCAGUUCCUGGAACACUGUUGGUUCUACACCAAUACAACUAGGUCCUGGAACACUGUUGGUUCUACACCAAUACAACUAGUUCCUGGAACACUGUUGGUUCUACACCAAUACAACUAGUUCCUGGAACACUGUUGGUUCUACACCAAUACAACUAGUUCCUGGAACACUGUUGGUUCUUCACCAAUACAACCAGUUCCUGGAACACUGUUGGUUCUUCACCAAUACAACCAGUUCCUGGAACACUGUUGGUUCUACACCAAUACAACUAGUUCCUGGAACACUGUUGGUUCUACACCAAUACAACCAGUUCCUGGAACACUGUUGGUUCUACACCAAUACAACUAGGUCCUGGAACACUGUUGGUUCUACACCAAUACAACUAGGUCCUGGAACACUGUUGGUUCUACACCAAUACAACUAGUUCCUGGAACACUGUUGGUUCUACACCAAUACAACUAGUUCCUGGAACACUGUUGGUUCUACACCAAUACAACUAGUUCCUGGAACACUGUUGGUUCUUCACCAAUACAACCAGUUCCUGGAACACUGUUGGUUCUACACCAAUACAACCAGUUCCUGGAACACUGUUGGUUCUACACCAAUACAACUAGUUCCUGGAACACUGUUGGUUCUACACCAAUACAACUAGUUCCUGGAACACUGUUGGUUCUACACCAAUACAACCAGUUCCUGGAACACUGUUGGUUCUACACCAAUACAACCAGUUCCUGGAACACUGUUGGUUCUACACCAAUACAACUAGGUCCUGGAACACUGUUGGUUCUACACCAAUACAACUAGGUCCUGGAACACUGUUGGUUCUACACCAAUACAACUAGUUCCUGGAACACUGUUGGUUCUACACCAAUACAACUAUAACUUCUAUGUAAAGAAUAGCCCACAUUGCAGUUAGGAAAUAUCCUGAUUUUUAAAAAUAUCCUAUAAAUCACAUUGGCUACUCAUGGCCUGUCAGCAACAAACUUGAAAGGUCAUAUUAAUUUGGGGACUUGCCUGCAAUGUGCUAGUGAACUUGCAACAUUGUGUAAAAUAUUCUAGGCACUCCGGUUCUAGUGCCAUUGAGCUCGGGACACAGCUGUAGGCUAUUUGCACAAGGGAUAAGAAGCAGCAAUUGACUUGGGUAGGAGCUCACAGGAGCUGAGUAUUUCAGUCCAAGUCCAGCAUGGAUUAGAAGCCUAUUUUAUGACCCUUUGGGGUUAUGGAAAGGCAGCACACUGGAAUUAUUUUUCAAGUUCAUUGAGGAACUAUUGUGAAUCUCAGUGGAUGUAAAUCAGAAUUGUUUUUUUGCUUUUUGAGGUGAACGCAUUAGUUUGAGAAGCUCCAAAGGUCAUUAAUGGUGGCGUGUUAAGCCAAUCACAUCCCCCAAAUUGAUGCUUACAUUUGCACGCAGGCAGCGUGUAGGCCUACUUCUAUGCGUGCGCGUCCUUAUUAACAUUGACAGGGGUGCUCCAAACAAAAGACGAUGACAAAAUUGACACGACUUGUAAGUGGAAUUAAAGUAACCAAAAUGUGGUUGGUUGGUCAGGCCAAUUAGGUAGUAUGUACAUGACUGUAUAGUUGGUGACUAUGCAUAUAAGAAACUGAGUAGCAGCAGCGUAAAAGAGGGGUUGGGGGGCACACAAUGCAAAUAGUCCGGGUAACCAUUUGGUUACCUGUUCAGGACUCUUAUGGCUUGGGGGUAAAAACUGUUGAGAAGCCUUUCUGUCCUAGACUUGGCACUCCGGUACCGCUUGCCAUGCGGUAGAAAAGAGAACAGUCUGUGGCUGGGGUCUUUGACACUUUUUCGGGCCUUCCUCUGACACUGCCAGGUGUAGAGGUCCUGGAUGGCAGGCAGCUUAGCCCCAGUGAUGUACUAGGCCGUACACACUACCCUCUGAAGUGCCUUGCGGUUGGAGCCCGAGCAAUUGCCGUACCAGGCAGUGAUGCAACCGGUCAGGAUGCUGUUGCAGCUGUAGAACCUUUUGAGGAUCACAGGACCCAUGCCAAAUCCUUUUAGUUUCCUGAGGGGGAAUAGGCUUUGUCGUGCCCUCUUCGACUGUCUUGGUGUGUUUGGACCAUUCUAGUUUGUUGUAAUGUGGACACCAAGGAACUUGAAGCUCUCAACCUGCUCCACUACAGCCCCGUUGAUGAGAAUGGAUGUGCUCCUUUUCCUGUAGUCCACAAUCAUCUCCUUAGUUUUGGUUACGUUGAGGGAAGGUUGUUAUUCUGGAACCACCCGGCCAGGUCUCUGACCUCCUCCCUAUAGGCUCUCGUCGUUGAUGGUGAUCAGGCCUACCACUGUGUCGUCAGCAAACUUAAUGAUGGCGUUGGGAGUCAUGCCUGGCUGUGCAGUUGUGGAUGAACAGGGAGUACAGGAGGGGACUGAGCACACACAGUUCAGUGUUGAGGCUCAGCAUGGCAGAUGUGUUGCUACCUACCCUCACCACCUGGGGGCAGCCCGUCAGGAAGUCCAGGAUCCAGUUGCAGAGGGAGGUGUUUAGUCCCAGGAUCCUUAGCUUGGUGAUGAGCUUUGAGGGUACAAUGGUGUUGAACGCUGAGCAGUGGUCAAUGAACAGCAUUCUCACAUAGGUGUUCCUUUUGUCCAGGUGGGAAAGGGCAGUGUGGAGUGCAAUAGAGAUUGCAUCAUCUGUUUGUGCGGUAUACAAAUUGGAGUGGGUCUAGGGUUUCUGGGAUAAUGGUGUUGAUGUGAGCCAUUACCAGCCUUUCAAAGCACUUCAUGGCUACGGACAUGGGUGCUACAUGUCUGUAGUCAUUUAGGCAGGUUGCCUUUGUUCUUGGGCACAGGGACUAUCGUGGUCUGCUUGAAACAUGUUGGUAUUCGACUCAAUCGGGGACAUGUUGAAAAUGUCAGUGAAGACACCUGCCAGUUGGUCAGCACAUGCCCAGAGCUCACGUCCUGGUAAUCCGUCUGGCCCCGCAGCCUUGUGUGUUGACCUGUUUAAAGGUCUUACUCGCGUCGGCUACGGAGAGCGUGAUAACACCGUUGUCCGGAACAGCUGAUGCUCUCAUGCAUGCCACAGUGUUGCUUGCCUCGAAGCGAACAUAGAACUGAUUUAGCUCGUCUGGUAGGCUCGUGCCACUGGGCAGCUCACAUCUGUGCUUCCCUUUGUAGUCUGUAAUAGUUUGCAAGCCCUGCCGCAUAAGAUGAGCAUCAGAGCCGGUGUAGUAGGAUUCAAUCUUAGCCCUGUAUUGACUCUUUGCCUGUUUGAUGGUUCGUCGCAGGGCAUAGCAGGAUUUCUUGUAAGCUUCCAGGUUAGAGUCCCGUGCCUUGAAAGCGGCAGCUCUACCCUUCAGCUCAGUGUGAAUGUUGCCUGUAAUCCAUGGCUUCUGGUUGGGGUAUGUACGUACAGUCACUGUGGGGACGACGUCCUCAAUGCACUUAUUGAUAAAGCCAGUGACUGGUGUAUUCCUCAAUGUCAUCUGAGGAAUCCCAGAACAUGUUCCAGUCUGAAAGCAAAGCAGUCCUGUAGUUUAGCAUCUGCUUCAUCUGACCAUUUUUUUAUAGACAGUCACUGGUGCUUCCUGCUUUAAUUUUAGCUUGUAAGCAGGAAUUAGGAGGAUAGAGUUGUGGUCAGAUUUACCAAAGGGAGGGCAAGAGAGCUUUGUACGAACGCGUCUUUGUGUGGAGUACAGGAGAUCUAUAAAAAAAAAUCCCUCUGGUUGCACAUUUAACAUGUUGAUAAAGAUUUGGUGGAACUGAUUCAAGUUUCCCUGCAUUUAAGUCUCCGGCCACUAGGAGUGCCACCUCUGGGUGAGUGGUUUCCUGUUUGCUUAUUUCUUCAUACAGCUGACUUAGUGUGGUCUUGGUGCCAGCAUCUGUCUGUGGUGGUAAGUGUAUCCCGCUAGCUGAAUAUCCAUGUUGUAAUUCAACCACAAUUCCGUGAAGCAUAGGAUAUUACAGUUUGAUGUCCUGUUAGUGAGUAAUAUUGACGGUAACAGCAGCUUUCCUGGGGGGGGGGCGCAAUUCUGGAGUGAAGUGCAAUUCUGGUCGCAUGGUCAACACAACUUCCUCAUUGGCCAUGCAGCAUUUACGGUGAUAUUGCUGGAGCAGAAGUUGGGACAUUCAUACUACUUUGCAGAGCGGUUGUCAAGGAAAUGAGUUUGUUUAUAUAGGAUGUACCACCCCACCUACUGUUUACCAGUCAUGUCAAUGUGGCACUAGACAGAGCCUUCCGCAUUAUUACAUUUUUGGCAAUGUGUUCCAGAGCUUUAUAUUUUUGGGCCUCUGCGGGCUCUGCAAUUGUCACACCCUCUAUAUGGAGUCUCUGACCACAUUUUCAAAUCAAGCAUAAAUUAGCUUUUAGUCCAGGCCUCUGCAAUGGAUUAGUUCACUGAGGUAUGUGCACCUGGUCGACCAACAGACCAAACAAUCGGCCAGUCGCCUAAUUGGGCUCAGCCCUAAAAACAACUGUCUCCAGCAACAUCUGCAGUGCUGAGAUGACUGUCCCCAUAUACAUUACGUUCUAUUGGUUGCUAGAAUUUUGUAGAAUUUAAAUUGAAAGACUUAAUUUUGGAGUAGGCGUUGUCAGUUCAUUAACCAUGUGGCACAGCUGUCAUUUUAAUUGGUAAAUGGUCUACCAACAACUGAUGUGCUGAUCAAGUAAUUCUUAGUU